UACGAAGGGGGCUAGCGUUGCUCGGAAUCACUGGGCGUAAAGGGUGCGUAGGCGGGUCUUUAAGUCAGGGGUGAAAUCCUGGAGCUCAACUCCAGAACUGCCUUUGAUACUGAGGAUCUUGAGUUCGGGAGAGGUGAGUGGAACUGCGAGUGUAGAGGUGAAAUUCGUAGAUAUUCGCAAGAACACCAGUGGCGAAGGCGGCUCACUGGCCCGGAACUGACGCUGAGGAGCGAAAGCGUGGGGAGCAAACAGG
rnacentral:rRNA from 1 species